rnacentral:rRNA from 1 species
GUUUUUGUUUGGAGAGUUUGAUCCUGGCUCAGGACGAACGCUGGCGGCGUGCUUAACACAUGCAAGUCGAACGGGAUCCAAGGCGCUUUUUGUGUUUUGGUGAGAGUGGCGAACGGGUGAGUAACACGUGAGUAACCUGCCCCCUUCUUUUGGAUAACCGCAUGAAAGUGUGGCUAAUACAGGAUA